CCUAAUGGCGGCGCUGACGAGCCACUUCCGGCGUAAAGUCCGUGAGCCGCAGCCCGACUUCCGGCACCGCCUCCUCCCCGCGGUUCCCCGCGCUGGAUUCCCCAUAAGCCAACGGCCGUGAGUUCUGUGCAGGUUUUCCCCCUUUUAUCGUUCACUGAAGUUGCAGCCUCGAUUGUUUUCAUUCUUUUCGCUUGUGCUUCAUCGCUUUUCCUACCGUCGUUGUGUAGAAGGGCUUUGGAGACAGACAUCCCAUUCCAGCCUUCGGUCUGCCACUAACUGGUAUCAUGGACUAGAAAUAUUUAAGAUCUCGCUCAGCAGAAAGCAUCUGCCACGCAGGGAGUGUAGUCUUAAAGAUGGGGGUCAGGAAAGGAGUCACUGAAAUGGCAAGACCUGAAGGAGAGCAAGGAGCGAGCUGUGCCGAUACUGUGGGAAGAACAUCUCAGGCAGAACACCAGACACUAAGACAACAGAUGAGGCCUGAGGGGAUGAAGUAGGCAAAAUGGACAGAGGACUCCGCCCAAAAACCCCUUCACCACCCCUAAGAUGAGUAAGUAAUUGAGUUUAACUUGUUCCUUGUGUAAAAGACCAGUUAAAUCUGUGACAUUUAGGCAGCAGACGUCCUUUUUAAAGUAAAAGUUUCAAUUAGCCUUGAUUUUCAAUGAAAAUAGUGUUUCAGGAACUCUCACAGGAAAACUUUGGCAUUUUUCUCAAUGCCUGAGGAAAUCAGAAGCAUAUAUUUAUCUCCUCCGGAUCUAUGAGUGAAUCUGCACUGGGAGAAUUAGUCUAAUAUCCAGGUCAUAGUUAUAAAAUAAAAAAAAAAUCAAACAGCUUGUCAAAUCUGCCAUAAUUUAUCAUCCAUUUCUAAGGAAUUAUAAUUCUUUUGAAUCUUUUCCUGGCAUAUCCCCCAGAUUCUUCCUGUUGCAUUUCUAGUUUAUGAAUCAAGCCUUUCAUUCAUUUAUUUAUUCUACAAGUAUUUCUUUCCCUAGCAACCAUAGCUUUAUUUUAGGCACUUAGGAGUUAUAAGGGCAAUCCAUUCCUAAUCCUGCAAGAGUUUACAGUUUAUUGGGGAUGGCAAGAGAAGGAAAAGAAAGAAAGAAGGGGGAGGGAGGACGAGGAAAGAAA